CCUAGAUCUCGUCAUUUCAAUAUAAUCCAUCACAGAUCUGGUAUUUCUUUCUUCUCCAGAUUCUCCGCUCUAUCUAAGCUAGAUUUUGAUACAGAGAGCUUCUUUUUGGAGAGUGAGAAACAGAGACGAGAGAUGGGUUCUGGUUCGAAAUUGGAAGGCACAUAAGCUCGGCGAUACGGCAAGACCCGUAAGAAGUCUUGAGUGUUUCUAGGGAUUCAAAGUCAUUCAACUGAUAAGGAAAUUAAAAAGGCGUAUCGGAAACUCCCUCUCAAAUUACAAUAGUUAAGUUUCUUCAUAUGGAAAAUCAAUUGAAGAAGGCAAGAGUUUUGGUGAUGCUUUUGAAAUGCAAGUACAUUGACCCUCUUUCAUUUCGUUGAUGUCUUGUCGGGGAUCAAGAAGUUUCUGAAUGUAGGAUCAGAAGCCCUCUAAAGGAAGAAUACCAAAAUCGUUGAUGAUUUCUUGUAUAAGUUAAUCCACACAAAAAUUGAGCAAAUGAAGAAAAAGGAUUAACUCUUCUGAGACUCUGAGCUCGUGACAAUACUAGUUACAAGUUUCUGAUUCUGCAGGUUCAAAUCUAUGUUGAUCCAUUUUGGAUAUGAAAAAGAUUUCUCAAAAUUGGUUCUGAAGCCACCCUUAUCAAUUUUGCAUUACUUUGCUGUCAUUCUUACUGUGUGUCUGUGUUUAUGAGAGUGAGAACGAGAUCAUUUCCUCUGAUACUUGGUAUCAAAUCAUCAUCUCAUAAUAUGAAUAUUAUUUUGAAUGGAGCCAUGUGGUCCAUCAGAUAUUUGUGGCAACAUGUAUUGGGGAUUGUCUUGCAUGAUGUUUCUCUUCUCUCUACCUUCUAAUCCUAUGUCUGCUACAUGUUUCAUAGAAUGACAAGGAGGACAUACUGUCGCGGUUUCUAUUGGAGAGUGAGAAGAAUCCGGAGGAGAUGAAUGAUAAAUAUCUAAGCGAAAUAAUUCUGAACUUCAUGAUUUCUGGGAAAGAUACCAGUGCAAAUUCACUCUUAUGGUUCUUCUACAUGCUCAGCAAGAACCCUCUAACAUAAUUUAUUAUUGUUUGAACAAGCUUCUAGUGCUUGCCCUCUUUUGUGCCCCUUUCAGAUUUGAUUGUGCUUUGGAAUAUUGGGACAUUUGGUUUAAAUUUCAGUUGGCAUUCUUCUGUCAUCUCUCUAACCUUGUUUUUGUGUCAAUGAUGCAGGAGUCCAUUCCUUCAACUUUCUUGGUUUGGGAUAUCAAGUGAACUGGCCCAUCAGCUUUGUUUUGACUCCUGGUGCAUUGAAAAUAUAUGCCGAGAUAUUCAGUUUUUUGAUACUAGUGAAACUGGCUUUGUUUUCAUUGACUGAUGUGUGGCGCCAAUUGAAGGGUUGAUGAAAUAAAAAUCACUAAUGCUUUACAAUAUGCAGCUAGUAUUGAGUACGUUAUAAGGUGGAGUACCAAUAUUAGUCUUUGGUCAAACUGGGGUUGCAUAAGCUGAUUCUCCAAAUGAGGCCCUUCCUCUUAAUUGCAGACCUAAUACUGGUGCUGCGCAGCUGACCAAAGAUAAAUUCAAGUUUCAUCUCAGCAGAGAAAUUGAAGCUUCAGAUGUGUUCACUUGAGGUUGUCAUUAGCUGGGAUGAGCGAGAGUAAGAUAGGAGAAAGAAGUUGUGCAUUUUUUGUAUUUUGAACAAUGACAAAGAUGUAUGAAUCAUUGAAUAACAAUAUUGUGAAAGAGUAUACAAGCUUCUCAUUUGUAUUUUUGC